AGAGGGGUAGAGCAGUGGUAGAUCGUCGGGCUCAUAAUCCGGAGUUCGCAGGUUCGAGUCCUGCCCCCUCUACCA
rnacentral:tRNA from 1 species